rnacentral:rRNA from 1 species
UACGGAGGGUGCAAGCGUUAUCCGGAUUCACUGGGUUUAAAGGGUGCGUAGGCGGGUUGGUAAGUCCGUGGUGAAAUCCCCAAGCUUAACUUGGGAACUGCCGUGGAUACUAUCAAUCUUGAAUAUCGUGGAGGUAAGCGGAAUAUGUCAUGUAGCGGUGAAAUGCUUAGAUAUGACAUAGAACACCAAUUGCGUAGGCAGCUUACUACACGAUCAUUGACGCUGAGGCACGAAAGCUAGGGGAGCAAACGGG